GACAGAGGGUGCAAACGUUGUUCGGAAUUACUGGGCGUAAAGCGAGUGUAGGCGGUGUGGUAAGUCGGAUGUGAAAGCCCCGGGCUCAACCCGGGAAGUGCACUCGAUACUGCCACGCUAGAGUAUCGGAGAGGUUGGUGGAAUUCUCGGUGUAGAGGUGAAAUUCGUAGAUAUCGAGAGGAACACCGGUGGCGAAGGCGGCCAACUGGACGAAUACUGACGCUGAGGCGCGAAAGCGUGGGGAGCAAACAGG
rnacentral:rRNA from 1 species